rnacentral:rRNA from 1 species
AGUGAACGCUGGCGGUAGGCCUAACACAUGCAAGUCGAACGGCAGCACAGUAAGAGCUUGCUCUUACGGGUGGCGAGUGGCGGACGGGUGAGGAAUACAUCGUAAUCUACUUUUUCGUGGGGAUAACGUAGGGAAACUUACGCUAAUACCGCAUACGACCUCCGGGUGAAAGCAGGGGAUCUUCGGACCUUGCGCGAUUGAAUGAGCCGAUGUCGGAUUAGCUAGUUGGCGGGGUAAAGGCCCACCAAGGCGACGAUCCGUAGCUGGUCUGAGAGGAUGAUCAGCCACACUGGAACUGAGACACGGUCCAGACUCCUACGAGAGGCAGCAGUGGGGAAUAUUGGACAAUGGGCGCAAGCCUGAUCCAGCCAUACCGCGUGGGUGAAGAAGGCCUUCGGGUUGUAAAGCCCUUUUGUUGGGAAAGAAAAGCAGCAGGUUAAUACCCCGCUGUUCUGACGGUACCCAAAGAAUAAGCACCGGCUAACUUCGUG